rnacentral:rRNA from 1 species
UAGGGAAUCUUCCGCAAUGGACGCAAGUCUGACGGAGCAACGCCGCGUGAGUGAAGAAGGAUUUCGGUUCGUAAAACUCUGUUGUUAGAGAAGAACAGCGCAUAGAGUAACUGUUAUGCGUGUGACGGUAUCUAACCAGAAAGCAACGGCUAACUACGAGCCAGCAGCCGCGGUAAUACGUAGGUGGCAAGCGUUGUCCGGAUUUAUUGGGCGUAAAGCGAGCGCAGGCGGUCAAUUAAGUCUGAUGUGAAAGCCCCCGGCUCAACCGGGGAGGGUCAUUGGAAACUGGUUGACUUGAGUGCAGAAGAGGAGAGUGGAAUUCCAGGUGGAGCGGUGAAAGACGUAGAUUUAAGGAGGAACACCAGUGGCGAAGGCGACUCUCUGGUCUGUAACUGACGCUGAGGUUCGAAAGCGUGGGUAGCAAACAGG